UACGUAGGGGGCAAGCGUUGUCCGGAAUUAUUGGGCGUAAAGAGCGCGUAGGCGGUCCUGUAAGUCGGCUGUGAAAGUCAGGGGCUCAACCCUUGGAAGCCGGCCGAUACUGUCGGACUAGAGUCCGGAAGAGGCGAGUGGAAUUCCCGGUGUAGCGGUGAAAUGCGCAGAUAUCGGGAGGAACACCAAUGGCGAAGGCAGCUCGCUGGGACGGUACUGACGCUGAGGCGCGAAAGCGUGGGGAGCAAACAGG
rnacentral:rRNA from 1 species